rnacentral:rRNA from 1 species
AUUGAACGCUGGCGGCAGGCCUAACACAUGCAAGUCGAACGAGUGGCGGACGGGUGAGUAAUGUCUGGGAAACUGCCUGAUGGAGGGGGAUAACUACUGGAAACGGUAGCUAAUACCGCAUACCAUCGGAUGUGCCCAGAUGGGAUUAGCUAGUGGGUGGGGUAAAGGCUCACCCAGGCGACGAUCCCUAGCUGGUCUGAGAGGAUGACCGGCAAAACUGGAACUGAGACACGGUCCAGACUCCUACGGGAGGCAGCAGUGGGGAAUAUUGCACAAUGGGCGCAAGCCGGAUGCAGCCAUGCCGGGUGUAUGAAGAAGGCCUUCGGGUUGUAAAGUACGUUCAGCGGGGAGGCGGUACCCGCAGAAGAAGCACCGGCUAACUCCGUGCCAGCAGCCGCGGUAAUAC